rnacentral:rRNA from 1 species
UACGGGGGGGGCAAGCGUUGUUCGGAAUUACUGGGCGUAAAGGGCUCGUAGGUGGCCAACUAAGUCAGACGUGAAAUCCCUCAGCUUAACUGGGGAACUGCGUCUGAUACUGGAUGGCUUGAGUUUGGGAGAGGGAUGCGGAAUUCCAGGUGUAGCGGUGAAAUGCGUAGAUAUCUGGAGGAACACCGGUGGCGAAGGCGGAUCUCUGGGCCUUACCUGACGCUGAGGCGCGAAAGCUAGGGGAGCAAACAGG